GUUUUAAUUUCGGGUGGAAGGCUGGUUAAACCGUUUGGUUUACGACCACUACGACCCGGGUUCGAUCCCCGCAUUGGACA